rnacentral:rRNA from 1 species
GACGAACGCUGGCGGCGUGCUUAACACAUGCAAGUCGAGCGGGAUCCAACCGGUGGCAACACCGGGGAAGAUCUAGCGGCGAACGGGUGAGUAACACGUGAGCAACCUGCCCCGAAGACUGGGAUAACACCGGGAAACCGGUGCUAAUACCGGAUGUCGUCAUUAGGCCGCAUGACCUGAUGAUGAAAGGAUUCAUCGCUUCGGGAGGGGCUCGCGGGCUAUCAGCUUGNGGUGGGGUAACGGCCUACCAAGGCGACGACGGCUAGCUGGUCUGAGAGGACGACCAGCCACACUGGGACUGAGACACGGUCCGGACUCCUACGGGAGGCAGCAGUGGGGAAUAUUGGACAAUGGGGGCAACCCUGAUCCAGCGACGCCGCGUGGGUGAAGAAGGCCUGCGGGUUGUAAAGCCCUUUCGGUGGGGAAGAAAAGUCUCGACCUAAUACGUCGGGACCUUGACGUAACCCACUAAAGAAGCACCGGCUAACUCUGUGCCAGCA